GAUGAACGCUGGCGGCGUGCUUAAUACAUGCGAGUCGAGCGAACGGACGAGAAGCUUGCUUUUCUGAUGUUAGCGGCGGACGGGUGAGUAACACGUGUAUAAUCUACCUAUAUGACUGGGAUAACUUCGGGAAACCGGAGCUAAUACCGGAGAAUAUCUUGCACCGCAGGGUUCAAAAGUGAAAGACGGUGUUGCUGUCUCUUAUAGAUGGAUCUGCGCUGCUUUAGCUAGUUGGUAGGGUAACGGCUUACGAAGGCAACGAUGCAUAGCCGACCUCAGGGGCGGAUCGGCCACCCUGGAACUGAGACACGGUCCAGACUCCUACGGGAGGCAGCAGUAGGGAAUCUUCCGCAAUGGGCGAAAGCCUGACGGAGCAACGCGGCGUGAGUGAUGAAGGUCUUCGGAUCGUAAAACUCUGUUAUUAGGGAAGAACAUAUGUGUAAGUAACUGUGCACAUCUUGACGGUACCUAAUCAGAAAGCCACGGCUAACUACGUG
rnacentral:rRNA from 1 species